GACGAACGCUGGCGGCGUGCUUAACACAUGCAAGUCGAACGGAAAGGCCCUGCUUUUGUGGGGUGCUCGAGUGGCGAACGGGUGAGUAACACGUGAGUAACCUGCCCUUAACUUUGGGAUAACUUCAGGAAACUGGGGCUAAUACCGGAUAGGAGCUCCUGCUGCAUGGUGGGGGUUGGAAAGUUUCGGCGGUUGGGGAUGGACUCGCGGCUUAUCAGCUUGUUGGUGGGGUAGUGGCUUACCAAGGCUUUGACGGGUAGCCGGCCUGAGAGGGUGACCGGCCACAUUGGGACUGAGAUACGGCCCAGCCUCCUACGGGAGGCAGCAGUGGGGAAUAUUGCACAAUGGGCGGAAGCCUGAUGCAGCAACGCCGCGUGCGGGAUGACGGCCUUCGGGUUGUAAACCGCUUUCGCCUGUGACGAAGCGUGAGUGACGGUAAUGGGUAAAGAAGCACCGGCUAACUACGUG
rnacentral:rRNA from 1 species